rnacentral:rRNA from 1 species
GACGAACGCUGGCGGCGUGCUUAACACAUGCAAGUCGAACGGAAAGGCCCUGCUUUUGUGGGGUGCUCGAGUGGCGAACGGGUGAGUAACACGUGAGUAACCUGCCCUUGACUUUGGGAUAACUUCAGGAAACUGGGGCUAAUACCGGAUAGGAGCUCCUGCUGCAUGGUGGGGGUUGGAAAGUUUCGGCGGUUGGGGAUGGACUCGCGGCUUAUCAGCUUGUUGGUGGGGUAGUGGCUGAACAAGGCUUUGACGGGUAGCCGGCCUGAGAGGGGGACCGGCGACAUGGGGACUGAGAUAGGGACCAGACUGCAACGGGAGGCAACAGGGGGGAGUAUUGCACAGUGGGCGGGAGCCAGAGGCAGCAGCGCCGCGAGCGGGAUGAGGGCCUUCGGGUUGUAAACAAAUUUCGACUGUGACAAGGCGUGAGUGACGGUAAUGAAUAAGAAAGCACCGGCUAACUACGUG